GACCCCGAUUGCCUAAACGUUUUUCCAGGCUAUCAAAUAUGACCUAUGGAACCAUAGUCACCGCCCCGCCAUGAUCGUUCCUCGUUGUUUUGCUUUUUAUGACCAAAAAACUAGAAUUUCGCCUGAUUCCCAUAUUUUCGUGUGCUCCAGCCCAUACCUUCCGAGUGGGCCCGGGUCCCCCAAAACCGGAUUGCCAAAAAUUUUUCCAGGCCAUCAAAUACAACCUAAGGAACCAUAGCCACCAUCCCGCCAUGACCGUUCCUCGUUGUUUUGCUUUAUACGCCCUAAAAACUAGAAUUUCGCCCAAUUGCCAAAUUUUCAUGUUAGCCCACGCCUUCGAAGUGUGUCCGGGCCCCCGGAGCCCGAUCGCCUAAAAUUUUUUCGAGCCAUCAAAUACAACCUAAGGAACCAUAGUCACCACCCUGCCAUGGCCGUUCCUCGUUGUUUUGCGUUUUACGACCAAAAAACUAGAAUUUUGCCCGAUUCUCAUAUUUUCGUGUGCUAUAGCCGGGGGCCCGAGCCCACUCGGAAUGCGUGGGAUAUAGCACACAAAAA
rnacentral:lncRNA from 1 species